rnacentral:lncRNA from 1 species
GGGCCCCCAAAAUCAAAAAUUGCCCACGCACCAGAUGCUAAGCACUGGGCGUGAGGUGGGGUGUUAAAGAAUGACAAAAGUCCCACAUCGGUGGUUAAUGAGAUGGGUGGACUCCUUAUAAGGCUUGGGCAAUCCUCCUCCCUUUGAGCUAGCUUUUGGGGUGUGAGUUAGGCCUAAGACCUAAUUUAACAUGGUAUCAGAGCAGGGCCCGUCUCAC